rnacentral:rRNA from 1 species
GAUGAACGCUAGCGGCAGGCCUAACACAUGCAAGUCGAGGGGUAGCAGGAUUAAGCUUGCUUAAUUGCUGACGACCGGCGCACGGGUGCGUAACGCGUAUGCAACCUACCUUAUACUGGGGUAUAGCCCGGAGAAAUUCGGAUUAAUCCCCCAUAGUACUAAUGAAUCGCAUGGUUUAUUAGUUAAAGCAUUGCGGUAUAAGAUGGGCAUGCGUCCUAUUAGCUAGAUGGUGAGGUAACGGCUCACCAUGGCUACGAUAGGUAGGGGGCCUGAGAGGGUGGUCCCCCGCACUGGUACUGAGACACGGACCAGACUCCUACGGGAGGCAGCAGUGAGGAAUAUUGGUCAAUGGGCGCAAGCCUGAACCAGCCAUGCCGCGUGCAGGAAGAAUGCCCUAUGGGUUGUAAACUGCUUUUAUUUGGGAAUAAACCUCUUUACGCGUAGAGAGCUGAAGGUACCAAAUGAAUAAGCACCGGCUAACUCCGUGCCAGCAGCCGCGGUAA